GACGAACGCUGGCGGCGUGCCUAAUACAUGCAAGUCGAACGCAGUGGGGACGGGUGAGUAACACGUGGGUAACCUCCCAUCAGAGGGGAUAACACUUGGAAACAGGUGCUAAACCGAGACUGAUGGAGGGACCCGCGGUGCAUUAGCUAGUUGGUGAGGUAAAGUCUCACCAAGGCCACGAUGCAUAGCCGACCUGAGAGGGGGAUCGCCCACCCUGGGACGUAGACACGGCCCAGACUCCUUCGGGAGGCCGCAGUCGGGAAUCUUCUGCGAUGGACUCAAGUCUGACCGAGCAACGCCGCGUGAGUGAAGAAGGUUUUCGGAUCGUAAAACUCUGUUGUUAGAGAAGCGGUAUCUAACCAGAAAGCCACGGCUAACUACGUGCCAGCCGCCGCGGUAAUAC
rnacentral:rRNA from 1 species